CAGGGAGACAAAACUGAUCGUGAUGUUUGAGAUGUUUGUUCUUAGGCCAUGAUCCUGUCACCUUAGGUCGAUCGGUACCUCAAUUUGAGAAUCAAAAAAAUAAGAAUUGAGAAAUCAAUUCUUAUUUUGAUUGUGAAAUUCAGUUCCUAAACUUUUGUCUAGGUCACACCCAAACAAAGGGUACUCCUGGGCCAUUAGCUCAGGUGGUUAGAGCGCACCCCUGAUAAGGGUGAGGUCCCUGGUUCAAGUCCAGGAUGGCCCAUUCGGUGUUGGGGGUAUAGCUCAGUUGGUAGAGCGCCUGCUUUGCAAGCAGGAUGUCAGCGGUUCGAGUCCGCUUACCUCCACUGAUCGACAUCCUGAACACUAAAGCGAGUAGACUUAAAUUUGUUUGAUGUGAUUUAGAUUUGUUCUUUAUGAAAUGAACCUAGCUUCCUAUCAUUCCUAAUUCUAAAUUUUGAUCGGGUUGAUAAGACGCUGGGCUCUCUGCAAUAUUUUAUUUGCAGAAGACGUUCAGUAGAACCUUGACAACUGCAUAGGUAAGUCUGGAAAGAAUAAAGCAUCUCAUGGAUGCAUUGUUCUUUAGAAUCAUUAGCAAUUCCAUUUUUUAAAUGAAAUAUGUUAAUGAUAGACGAAGAAUAAUGAUUAAUUCUUGAGUAAGAGCCAAGACUCUAUAUCUUAUUUGUAUAUUAUUUGCACCUAAAAUUUAGGCAAACUAUUCAAAUAUUUGAAAGGUUUUCUUAAAUCUAAGUGCUUAGAAUAUAUUGAACUAUAUAGAGAUUAAU
rnacentral:tRNA from 1 species